UCCACCCACAGCCGGAUGAUCCAGCAUAGUCCUGUCAGUCUUCCCAAAUCACCACAUAGCAGGCGCUUCUCCCAGAAACAUCUGGCCCAGAAGUUCAAGAGAAGUGAGGUCUGUUUCUCCUUUGAGCAGUUGCCGAAACAGAGACUUCCCGUGAAUGCAACAAAGAAGAAAGAGUGCAAGGGAUUCGCUAAGACUCAGCCACCCAGGAUGGCCUCAACUCACUUCCAUAUAAGUAAUGGCAGGUAGUUGAACAGGUUGAGCAAAUUACACCCUCAGUCUCAAAGUCAAAGGCAACCCCAGCUCCUGAAAACAAGUUUUGCCAAGG
rnacentral:lncRNA from 11 species